rnacentral:rRNA from 1 species
CUACGGGGGGCAGCAGUUAGGUAUAUUCUGCAAUGCGCGCAAGCGUGACAGAUUGAGCCAGAGUGCUUCUCAAAUUUGGGAAGCUUUUAUGCACUGUAAAAAAGUGCAAGAAUAAGGACUGGGUAAGACGAGUGCCAGCCGCCGCGGUAAUACUCGCGGUCCAAGUCGCAGCCAUUUUUAUUGGGUCUAAAACAUCCGUAGCUUGCUUUGUAAGUUUCUUGUGAAAUUUUAUAUCUUAAAUAUGAAACGUGCAAGAAGUACUGUGAAGCUAGAGACUGGAAGACGUAAGAAGUACGUUCGAAGUAGCGGUAAAAUGUGUUAAUCUCGGACAGACUCACAAUAGCGAAGGCAUCUUACGAGGACAGUUCUGACAGUAAGGGAUGAAGGCUAGGGGCGCAAAACGGAUUAGAUACCCGCGUAGUC